GGCAAAAUGGCUGAAGUGUAAGCGGCAAAUUGUAGCUUUGUUAAUGGAAGUUGAAUUUCUUUUGCCA
rnacentral:tRNA from 1 species